rnacentral:rRNA from 1 species
AUUGAACGCUGGCGGCAGGCCUAACACAUGCAAGUCGAACGAGUGGCGGACGGGUGAGUAAUGUCUGGGAAACUGCCUGAUGGAGGGGGAUAACUACUGGAAACGGUAGCUAAUACCGCAUACCAUCAGAUGUGCCCAGAUGGGAUUAGCUUGUUGGUGGGGUAAAGGCUCACCAAGGCGACGAUCCCUAGCUGGUCUGAGAGGAUGACCAGCCACACUGGCAAUGAGACACGGGCCAGACGCAUACGGGAGGCAGCAGUGGGGAAGAUUGCACAAUGGGCGCAAGCCUGAUGCAGCAAUGCAGCGUGUAGGAAGAAGGCCUUCGGGUGGUAAAGUACUUUCAGCGAGGAGGCGUUACCUGCAGAAGAAGCACCGGCUAACUCAGUGCCAGCCGCCGCGUUAAUUC